UCAAAGUAGUGCGUACAAAGUGCUGAUGAUUCUUUAACCAAACAUGUGUUGCAUACAAACUUCAACUCUAUUAUUAUUUUUGAUAACACACUUCACCCCAUGGAAUUUCCUUCAAACAUAAAGCCUGCUAAACAUGCUUCAUAAGCUAAAUGGAUUGGAAGAUGUUCCAUAGAAUCCCAGAAGCUUGGAGAAAAAUACCAUCAAUCUUAGUCAAUAUGAGAGGAAUAUCUCUUUCUAAUUGUCUUAUAUAUUCCUCAGUUAUUGCAGUAGAAGUGAGAUCUUUAGAAAAAGACUCAACUCUGUCAAUGGUUCCCACACAUUUUGUGGAAGCAAAUCUCGAAAUGCAAUAGGUAUGAGUCGUUGCAUAAAUAUAUAACAAUCAUGAAUCUUCACACCAAAGAGUUUAAUCUUGUUCAUGUCAACACAUCUUCACAUGUUAGACACAUAACAAUCAGGAAAUUUCAACUCAUGUAACCACUUACAAAGCACUUUUUGGGCAUUAUCAUCUAACAUGUAACAAGCUUUUGGGUACAUUUUAGCAGUUUCAUCUUGAUGUAACUUUGGUCGAUUGCAAAAUACUUCUAAAUCUUCUCUAGAUUUGGCAUUGUCCUUUGUUUUUCCCUUGACAUUCAUGAUGGUGUUAAAAAUGCUAUCAAACACAUUUUUUUCUAUGUGCAUCACAUCAAGGUUAUUUCUAAUAAGAUUUGUUUUCUAGUAAGGCAAGUCACAAAAUAUACUUCUUUUCUUCCAACCACAUAAGCUACUCUUUGAGAUUCUUGCAUUCACCUUGUCAGAACCAUGUUUUGUCACUUUCACGAAUCCCCAAUCCUCAAUCUCCUUGAGUAUUUGUAAAUCUGAUUGUUCAGUAGAUGCAAACUUAUUCA